GGCGGCAUACCCAAGUGGUAAGGGAGCGGUCUGCAAAACCGUUAUUCAGCGGUUCGAAUCCGCUUGCCGCCUCCA
rnacentral:tRNA from 1 species